rnacentral:sRNA from 1 species
AUCUUUGAAAAUGUGAUACUUCGAUUAUGAUACUUGCAGUUUGGUUUUAAAAGAUGUAUGUUUUUUAUAUCAAUUAACUUAAUGAUUUAUUUCAUGAAUAAGGAAAAAAACUGAUAUUUAUUUUCAAGUGAUUUGGAUAUCUUAUGUAUAUUUUUGAUAAAUAUUUUCUUAUCAGAGAAGAAACAAACAGCAUUUUUAUCCAUGUGAUAACAAAUAUUUACUUGACAUGUAGUUUUGAUUUCUGUAAUUGAUUUUAACAAUCUUACUGGUUAGUAAAUCCAUCAGAAUAAAACUAUUCCUAUC